GACGAACGCUGGCGGCGUGCUUAACACAUGCAAGUCGAACGGUGAAGCUCCAGCUUGCUGGAGUGGAUCAGUGGCGAACGGGUGAGUAACACGUGAGCAACCUGCCCCUGACUCUGGAAUAAGCGCUGGAAACGGCGUCUAAUACUGGAUACGAGAAGGGUCCGCAUGGGCACUUUCUGGAAAGUUUUUCGGUUGGGGAUGGGCUCGCGGCCUAUCAGCUUGUUGGUGAGGUAAUGGCUCACCAAGGCGACGACGGGUAGCCGGCCUGAGAGGGCGACCGGCCACACUGGGACUGAGACACGGCCCAGACUCCUACGGGAGGCAGCAGUGGGGAAUAUUGCACAAUGGGCGAAAGCCUGAUGCAGCGACGCCGCGUGAGGGAUGACGGCCUUUGGGUUGUAAACCUCUUUCAGCAGGGAAGAAGCGAAAGUGACGGUACCUGCAGAAGAAGCACCGGCUAACUACGUG
rnacentral:rRNA from 1 species